UUGCUCUUCAACGAGGAAUGCCUAGUAAGCGCGAGUCAUCAGCUCGCGUUGACUACGUCCCUGCCCUUUGUACACACCGCCCGUCGCUCCUACCGAUUGAAUGGUCCGGUGAAGUGUUCGGAUCGCGGCGACGGGGGCGGUUCGCCGCCCCCGACGUCNCGAGAANUCCAUUGAACCUUAUCAUUUAGAGGAAGGAGAAGUCGUAACAAGGUUUCCGUAGGUGAACCUGCGGAAGGAUCAUUGUCGUGACCCUGACCAAAACAGACCGUGCACGCAUCAUCCAAUCCGUCGGCGAUGGCAUUGUCCGUCGCUCGGCCAAUAUGCCUCGACCACCUCCCCUCCUUGGAGUGGGUGGGGGCUCGGGGUAAAAGAACCCACGGCGCCGAAGGCGUCAAGGAACACUGUGCCUAACCCGGGGGCAUGGCUAGCUUGCUAGCCAUCCCUUGUGUUGCAAAGCUAUUUAAUCCACACGACUCUCGGCAACGGAUAUCUCGGCUCUCGCAUCGAUGAAGAACGUAGCGAAAUGCGAUACCUGGUGUGAAUUGCAGAAUCCCGCGAACCAUCGAGUCUUUGAACGCAAGUUGCGCCCGAGGCCACUCGGCCGAGGGCACGCCUGCCUGGGCGUCACGCCAAAACACGCUCCCAACCCCCUCAUCGGGAAUCAGGAUGCGGCAUCUGGUCCCUCGUCUCGCAAGGGGCGGUGGACCGAAGAUCGGGCUGCCGGCGUACCGCGCCGGACACAGCGCAUGGUGGGCGUCCUCGCUUUAUCAACGCAGUGCAUCCAACGCGCAGCCGGCAUGACGGCCUCAAAAUGACCCAGCAAACGAAGCGCACGUCGCUUCGACCGCGACCCCAGGUCAGGCGGGACUACCCGCUGAGUUUAAGCAUAUCAAUAAGCGGAGGA
rnacentral:rRNA from 1 species